rnacentral:rRNA from 1 species
CCUACGGGAGGCAGCAGUGGGGAAUUUUGGACAAUGGACGCAAGUCUGAUCCAGCCAUUCCGCGUGCAGGAUGAAGGCCCUCGGGUUGUAAACUGCUUUUGUACGGAACGAAAAGGCCUCUCCUAAUACGAGGGGCUCAUGACGGUACCGUAAGAAUAAGCACCGGCUAACUACGUGCCAGCAGCCGCGGUAAUACGUAGGGUGCAAGCGUUAAUCGGAAUUACUGGGCGUAAAGCGUGCGCAGGCGGUUAUAUAAGACAGAUGUGAAAUCCCCGGGCUCAACCUGGGAACUGCAUUUGUGACUGUAUAGCUAGAGUACGGUAGAGGGGGAUGGAAUUCCGCGUGUAGCAGUGAAAUGCGUAGAUAUGCGGAGGAACACCGAUGGCGAAGGCAAUCCCCUGGACCUGUACUGACGCUCAUGCACGAAAGCGUGGGGAGCAAACAGGAUUAGAUACCCUGGUAGUCCACGCCCUAAACGAUGUCAACUGGUUGUUGGGUCUUAACUGACUCAGUAACGAAGCUAACGCGUGAAGUUGACCGCCUGGGGAGUACGGCCGCAAGGUUGAAACUUAAAGGAAAUUGACGGCGNGAGAGNGCGAGACGACGACGAGGGAGGAGG